rnacentral:rRNA from 1 species
CUACGGGUCGCACCAGUCGUGGAAAUUUUACAAUGCUCGAAAGAGUGAUAAAAUGAGUCAGAGUGUUUCUCUUAGAGAAACUUUUUUCUGCUGUAAAAAGGCAGUAGAAUAAGGACUGGGUAAGAUCGGUGCCAGCCGCCGCGGUAAUACCGACGGUCCAAGUCGCAUCCACAUUUAUUGGGUCUAAAACAUCCGUAGCUUGUUUUAUAAGUUUCUUGUGAAAUCUUACAUCUCAAAUGUAAGGCGUGCAAGAAAUACUAUACCACUAGAGACCGGAAGGCGCAAAGAGUAUGGUUAAGGUAGCGGUAAAAUGUGUUAAUCUUAAUUAGACUAACAAUAGCGAAGGCGCUUUGCGAGUACGGAUCUGACAGUGAGGGAUGAAGGCUAGGGGCGCAAAAGGGAUUAGAUACCCGUGUAGUC